GUGCCCGACAUCCCGCCGUGCCCGAUUCUUCUUCUCCGCGCGCCCGACGCCGAUCUGCCCUAACCGCAAUCGAGCGGUUUCUUCUUCGUCGCGUACAAAGCUGUGGCCAAGGAAGUCUUACGCUAUUUUUCCCUCUGAUUCGUGCAUUUCCUCACACCAAACAGCGUCGACUCGAGCCCUAGGUGCCGACACCGCCGACACCCUCUCCGAUCUCCUCUGUGCCCGCUACUGAGACUCCUCGGCCGAACUUCCACCGUGCCCUAGCCCCUCUCAGUGGAUAGCCGGCUGCCAACGCUCAAAGCCAUUGACGCCAGUGAUCGAGGGCACGCCACUGCCGAUUUGCAGCCUUUGCCCUAGCCGACGCCACCACCGCCGCUUCUCCUCAGCCCUAGCGUCGGUCACCGUUUUGUUCCUCUGUGCUCGUGUCCUAGCUAGCCUUACUGUGCCGCCUCACCUCUGCUUCUGCCGAUUUCCCGAUUAUUACCGAUCAUCUUCCCUGGCUGACGGAGUGAGCACGAAGUCGUCUAGCUGUGAUCUUCGAGAACUUUAGGUGUUGUGGGCUAUUCCUGGUUCCGGCAGCAACUCCAUCUAGCUACUCUCUUUGAUUUCAGUAGCAAGAACGACUGAGAGAUUGAGCAGCAAUUACUUCGUUUGGCAGCAAGUUGUCCGACGGUGGAACACUUGCUGAGGCUUCGGAUUUAGUAACUUUACAGUAGCACCAUUCCUAGAUCUUCAGCAAGAGCUAUCUCCGGAUAGCCAUUUAUUCCUCGACAGCAAUACCACGAUCAAAGUUGGGUUGAAUUUGGUAUGCGUUGGAUUCUAGGGUUUUGACGUGAGACGAGCAUCUCGAUGUCCGAGUUGGACCGGAUUGAUC